CGAGCACACGCAACUCGUUUGAUCAGCCCUCCCGCAGCCCUCCCGACACCGUGCAGCGUCACAGCGACGGUGGAGGCGACAUGUCUGCUUCCACAUUAUGCUGCAUGUGGGCAGGCGCUGCUCCGUGGCGGAGCAUGGCCCGCAUGGAUUGGGAUGACGGCGCAACCGCAGUGCUGCCGCGCCUUGUACGCGAACGGCGUCUACUCGCUUUCCUCCGCCAGCGACGAUAGUGGGAGCUCCAGCGCCACGAGAAGAGUCAUGCGCUGCCGGGGCAGACCAAAUACACGUCGAAAAGGAGACCGCCCGUCGCUGCUCUUCUCCUUUGCCUUCCCCUUGCCCUGUUGCAACCUUCUCUGCUUCCGUCGUGAGUGCACCCGACGCUGGCGGCGGACUGCUGCAUGCACUACGCGCUGAUGCUGUACCUGGACGCCGCUGUGCCGCAGGCGUGUGGCACGCCGAAGCACGCGCUGUUCUUCAUAACGGAGCCGGUGCGGUGGUGCUGCGGAUCGAGUGCGCGCGUGCUGGAGGGCGGCGCCGACGGGCGCGGUGGACUACGAGGUGAACGAGACUCACUUGACGGGUGCGCAGGCGCUGUCGGACUACCUGCUGGAUACGUGGUACGUGCACGACAUGCCGCGCUACGGCGCUGUGUCGUGCAUUGAUCGGAACGUGACGGCGCUGCUGAGAUUUGCGGAUGAGUGGCGCGGCACCAACGUGAACGUGUUCCUGUACAACUCCUCCUCGCACCAUCAGGCUGGGCUGAACCUCGCAACGUACUACGACCUGUUCAUCAAGUCCUUCCUCGGCCGCGACAGCGCGUUCAUGCGGUACAAGGUGGAGCUGUUCAACGAGCCUGCGAGCCAGUCGCAGCUGGGCUUCAUCUUCAUUGGCGCCCUGGUGAUGAUCCCGUUCACGUUCCUGCCGGCGAACCCUGUUGCGUGGGUGGUGAAGGAGCGGCAGUGCGGGUCGCGGCACCUGCAGGACCUGUGCGGGCUGAGCUUCUUCGUGUACUGGACGGCCAACUAUACAUUCGACAUGCUGGCCUACUUUGUCACGACGCUGCUGUGCAUCCUCAUCUUCUGUAUCUUCAGCCGGCAGGAUUUCGUCGGGCCGGACCGUGCUGGCGGCACGUUUAUGCUGCUCAUGGUCUACGGGCUCACGAGCACCGCUGGCGCGUACGCGCUGAGCUUCCUGUUCAAGGAGCACUCGUCUGCGCAGACGAUCGUGAUGGGUGUCGGCUUUGUUGCCGGGUUCCUUCUGUUGAUGCUGGUGUACGUGCUGGCGCUGGAUCCAGGCAACGUGGACACGUCAGACAAGAUGCGGUGGGAAUUCCGGUUGAUCCCGUCGUACUGCAUCGGCGAGGGGCUCAUCGGGCUGCUGAUGCUGGACAGCAAGCUGGCCAUGGGCACCGCAACCAGUGCUUGGGACAUGGACCAGCUUGGGUGGCCGCUGCUGUACAUGGCAGUGGAGCUCCCUGCGUUCUGGCUGAUCGUUCUGUGCGUGGACCACCCGGCGGUGAGGCGGUGCCUGCAGCGGCUGCGCUACAACCGCGACGCGGAGCCAAUCAUCCCGAGCGACGAGGACUCGGACGUGGAGGACGAGCGCGAGGCUGUGUACGAGGCGGGGCAGAUGGGCGACACGACGAGCGACGUUGUGCGAGUGGUGAACCUGCAGAAGCGGUACGGGAACGGUAACAUUGCUGUGAAGGGCAUCACGUUCUCGAUCUUCCCCGGGGAGGUGUUCGGCUUUCUCGGCACGAACGGUGCUGGCAAGACGACGACGAUUUCGAUGCUGUGCCAGCAGUUCCUGCCGACGGGCGGCAGCGCGUACGUGUGCGGGUACGACAUCGUUGAGCAGAGCAAGGAGGCGCUGCAGUGCAUCGGGUACUGCCCGCAGUUCGACGCGACGCUGGACCUGCUCACUGUGGAGGAGCAGCUGGAGCUGUACGCUGGGAUCCGCGGGAUCGUGCGUGCGGAGUGGCCUGCGCUCGUGGACGCGCUGUGCACGCUGUGCGAGCUAACGAUGUACCGCAAGACGGUGACGAGUGCGCUCUCCGGUGGCAACCGGCGCAAGCUGUCUGUGGCGAUAGCGCUGGUGGGCGGUCCGCAGGUGGUCUUCCUGGACGAGCCGUCGGCCGGCAUGGACCCUGUGGCGCGACGCGGGAUGUGGACUGCGAUCCAGCGCGCCGCGGGGCACUGCUCCGUUGUGCUGACGACGCACCACCUGGAGGAGGUGGAGGCGCUCGCGGACAUUGUGGCGAUCAUGGUGCGCGGGUACGUGCGGUGCGUCGGCGACAAGGUGCACCUGAAGAACAAGUUCGGCAGCGCCUUCGAGGUGAGCGUGCGGCUCGCGUCGGCGCAGCACGCGGAGCUCUUUGCGUCGUUCAUGCAGGCGGCGUUCCCCGACGCUGUGCGGAGCGAAGGCGAGGGUCGGCGGCUCGUGUACCAGCUGCCGCGCGAUCGCGGCUUCGGCGACGUGUUCCAGACGUUCCAGGCGAACAAGGAGCAGCUGCACAUCACGGGCUACAGCGUGUCGCAGACAGCCCAUUCGGCGGAUGGAUUUUCCAGUUUUUCCUGGGGUCACGGUGUGGUAGUUGAGGGUAGCUGACGAAGGGGUGGUGAAAUUGUGUUUUUGGUCAACUUGUUGCUGUGCAUGCGUGUGCAAGCAAAGGCGUUGAAGCGGUGCGGCUGCUGUGCGUUCGCAAUUUUUUUUUGUUGGUUUGGCGCUGCUAAUCUUCGUGUAUGUUCUGUCAGCGCGCGUGCGGCACUCUUCUUGUGUCUUAACACUGCGGAAGUGUGCUGGCUCGUGGAGAAUUUUGACGGCUUUCAUGCCAACAUGCG
rnacentral:misc_RNA from 1 species